rnacentral:rRNA from 1 species
AUUGAACGCUGGCGGCAGGCUUAACACAUGCAAGUCGAGCGGGGUGAUGGUGCUUGCACUAUCACUUAGCGGCGGACGGGUGAGUAAUGCUUAGGAAUCUGCCUAUUAGUGGGGGACGACAUCUCGAAAGGGAUGCUAAUACCGCAUACGUCCUACGGGAGAAAGCAGGGGAUCACUUGUGACCUUGCGCUAAUAGAUGAGCCACAGUCGGAUUAGCUAGUUGGUGGGGUAAAGGCCUACAAAGGCGACGAUCUGUAGCGGGUCUGAGAGGAUGAUCCGCCACACUGGGACUGAGACACGGCCCAGACUCCUACGGGAGGCAGCAGUGGGGAAUAUUGGACAAUGGGGGGAACCCUGAUCCAGCCAUGCCGCGUGUGUGAAGAAGGCCUUAUGGUUGUAAAGCACUUUAAGCGAGGAGGAGGCUCUUUUGGUUAAUACCCAGAAUGAGUGGACGUUACUCGCAGAAUAAGCACCGGCUAACUCUGUGCCAGCCGCCGCAGUAA